rnacentral:rRNA from 1 species
CAGUAGCCACGGUAAUACGUAGGUGGCAAGCGUUGUCCGGAAUUAUUGGGCGUAAAGAGCUCGUAGGUGGUUUGUCGCGUCGUUUGUGUAAGCCCGCAGCUUAACUGCGGGACUGCAGGCGAUACGGGCAUAACUUGAGUGCUGUAGGGGAGACUGGAAUUCCUGGUGUAGCGGUGGAAUGCGCAGAUAUCAGGAGGAACACCGAUGGCGAAGGCAGGUCUCUGGGCAGUAACUGACGCUGAGGAGCGAAAGCAUGGGGAGCGAACAGGAUUAGAUACCCCCGUAGUCCCUGUCUCUUAUA